rnacentral:rRNA from 1 species
AUGGGGAAUUUUUCGCAAUGGGUGAAAGCCUGACGGAGCAAGACCGCGUGGGGGAAGAAGGCUCUUGGGUUGUAAACCCCUUUUCUCUGGGAAGAAAGUUGUGAAAGCAACCUGACGGUACCAGAGGAAUCAGCAUCGGCUAACUCCGUGCCAGCAGCCGCGGUAAGACGGAGGAUGCAAGCGUUAUCCGGAAUGAUUGGGCGUAAAGCGUCCGCAGGUGGCAGUUCAAGUCUGCUGUCAAAGACCGGGGCUUAACUUCGGAAAGGCAGUGGAAACUGAACAGCUAGAGUAUGGUAGGGGCAGAGGGAAUUCCUGGUGUAGCGGUGAAAUGCGUAGAGAUCAGGAAGAACAUCGGUGGCGAAGGCGCUCUGCUGGACCAUAACUGACACUCAGGGA